rnacentral:rRNA from 1 species
UACGAAGGGGGCUAGCGUUGCUCGGAAUUACUGGGCGUAAAGGGCGCGUAGGCGGCACUGUUAGUCAGGCGUGAAAGUCCUGGGCUCAACCUGGGAACUGCGCUUGAUACGGCAGAGCUAGAGGAUGGAAGAGGCUCGCGGAAUUCCCAGUGUAGAGGUGAAAUUCGUAGAUAUUGGGAAGAACACCGGUGGCGAAGGCGGCGAGCUGGUCCAUUACUGACGCUGAGGCACGACAGCGUGGGGAGCAAACAGG